rnacentral:lncRNA from 1 species
ACAGGGAUAGAUAACUGCUGAAAAGGUGGUUCAGUAGGUAGAAUGGAUGAAUAGUCAAGAAAAGUAGUUAUCAUCUGUAGUAUAGGAGUUGGUAUCUCGGAGUAGUAUAAGGAGGAUGGGAGAGGGGAAGAAAAUGCCAGACUGUGAGAAUUGUGAGCCGGGAUAAGCUUCGUGCUACGUCUUUUCUUUUAUUUGUUAUUUUCUUUGAAUAAGAGGAUUGAGAGUUUUUGAAUAUUGUGAAGUGAAUUAUGGAAUGGAAAUGUGAUUGGUAUUAUUUGAGAAGAAGAAAGAUUGAAUGCUGAAAUCUGAUUGUAAUUCAGCAAAGAGAAUGAGUCUGUGUUUGUGUGAAACAUUGUAACGUGAAUGGCAAUUCUGUGUAAAGAAUUCCAGUGAUUGGAACGAGGGUAAUUGUGUGUUGAAAGCUGUGAGGGCGCAGUAUUACAGUUGGAGAUUAUGAGGGUGAAUAUAUUGGUGGAAAUAGCAGUUAUUGGUAUGACUGAAUUGCUGUAAGGAAGAGACCGAUAAGAUGAAGGAGGAGAUUAUAGUUUCCUUGUCUGUUCAGAUAUUGAAAAUAGAGAUGAUACAUUCAAGAGGUAAUUGAUUAUGUGACCCUAACAUGAACACUUAAGCAACUAGUCAUUCUCUGUGUUCGAAUCUCCCUAUAUGGAUUUAUGCUGGGAGGUUUCUUUUGGAAUAAGUAAAACGAGCAAUCACAUUUUGGCGCCGCUGUCGGGGAGUGAUAAUAGCUUUGAGUGUUAGGAAUUAAUUACCAAAUGUGUGAGAAAAUUGGCAAUGGAAGACGUUUUCAAUAGUAUUUGAAAAAAGAGUAUGGUUAUUAACAAUGAGAAUUUAACAGCAAAGAGAAUAAAGCAAUCAAAGAAAAGAACAGAGCGAUCACAAGCAAGAAAUUUGUUACGUAAUGAGCGAGAUCGCAAAUUAAAAAAGAAGCAUCGAUAAAGUUGGAUUAAGCCGUGGUUGCAUGCCUAUCGGCAUAUUCGAUCGUACCCAGAAGACAAUCGACCUCUAAUAUUUCAGAAAUACAUACCGUUAAAGAAAUUACCAAGAGCACUCGCAGGGAGCACUGCUAAUAGUCCAGCAAACCUCUCGAAGCCGUUAACGGAAAAUGAAGAAGGCACAGAGGAAUUAGGUACUCCACUGGGUAUCUUCUCAAUUAGAAAUACGUCCAAUCCUAACAAGAUUGGUUCUCAAGAUCAGCAUAAAUCACUUGCCAAUAAAGACCAAUUCAGAGUAUAUCAAAACCUGUCAUUUUUACCUCAUAUUCAACUAGUAAAAUUAUUUGGGAAUAAUGAUAGUCAAUCGAAAAAGCUUGGAAGUCCGAAAAAGACUUUUGUGGGAGACAGUUUUAUUUUAAUAAGAAAUUGAACAGAACAUCGGCAUCUUUAAUGAUGUCCGGAGGACCAGCAAUUUUGAUUGGAGUUCAAAUGGGUGCAGUGGGCGAUCAAACGACUAGUGUCGUGCCAUUACCUACUUUUCGGGGUUUGCCAAGUGCAGAUCCAGAUCAACAUUUGUCUCAAUUCUUGACAGCGUGUGUAGCCAAUAAUGGAAGAACAGAAGACAUUUGGCUGAGAUGGCUGCCAGUGACAUUGAAAGACACAACGUUUGAGUGGUGUAACCGCCAACCUGUGGGACAAUUUAUCAAUUGGGAGGUAUUGAAAAAUGCAUUUUUAGCCUAUUUUCGACCAAUUGGUUUUGAAGAACAUCUUAGAGAAAAAUUAAUGAAUAGCAGAAUGGUACCAGGAGAAGCGGUAUAAUCAUAUUAUGGUCGUGUAGCGGAUAUACUUCGAAAAUGGCCAAAUAACCAAAUGUCAGAAUCAUUUGUGUUAUCCAUAUUGGUUAAUAGACUACACCCACCAGAAUUAAAAAUGUUUGUAAAGGAGGUCCAAUCAGCCACCAUUGCAUCAUCUCUUGAGCAAGCAAAAGUAUGGGAAGAAUGUCACUAUGACUAGAACUUAACAGUUAGAGCCACGAUGAUUCCAUCUCAAGGAGAUUAUCAAAUGACAAAUUGGAAUGAUGCAUCGAGAAGUUAUCUGAGAAGGAAUGAUUAUGGUACAAUUUCAAAGGGAAUAGUGGAUGCCGUUCCAUUACAAGCUGUACCACCAUCAUCAUCACACCCGUAUGCACCUUAUUCCGUGUAUCAGAAAUCAAUACCUACAAAGGAAUUGCCAAAUGCAUUGGUAUCAAGGGAUCCCAAUGAGUCAUUGCUGUUAACAUUGACAAAAAAAAUGGAUGAAUUGGGUGUGAAUCUGGCCAAGGAUAAAGAAAAAAGGCAUAAAUCAACCAAUAUGCGUCCCAAUGUCUGGUGCAACAAUUGUAAGGGGCAAGGUCAUUUAGUAACAGAAUGUCCUUCACCACCCCAAAUGACUGUACAAUAUAUCUUUUGCGGGGGUAAGCAUAUUACCACCAACUGUUGGAAUUUACGAAAGCAAUAACAACUCAAUAAUCAUAUAAUGACUCAACCAACUUCGUGGGAUGUCAAUGAAGUACAAAUGAAUAAUAGGUUUGGCUGGAAUGGAAAUCGAGCGAAUAAACAAAACAUGAAUUUCUUCAACUCUGAAUUUCACCAAGAAGGUGUAUCCAAUACUUACGGAUUGGCGAUGAAUCAACAAGGAUACCAUCAAUAUCCACCUAUGAUGAAGCCAAUGCCAGACUCUACAGUAACAAUGGGUCAACCAGGAUCCUUUACUUAUCUGACAUGGAACAGACCUAGCCAUUAUAUACUAGUAGAGACACCCAUUAUCCCUGAAGGAGUUGGCAGGAGAUCACUUUGUUGCUAUCGUUGCAGACAAAUCAGACAUUAUGCCAAUGAAUGUCCUAAUCCAAGGGCUAGUGAUGACUAUGCUCCAAUAUGUAGAAAUUGUAAGCAGUAUGGUCACACUUAUCAGUAGUGCAAUGUGUCCUUUAAUUAUAAUAAUCGGGACCAGCAAAUACAAAUAAGCCAACCAACGGAGGACAAAGGCCCUAUUCAACGAGACUCACCAAUACAUCGUGUCGAGGUAGUGAACGUAGUGCUUACUAGAGGCCAACAAAAAGACAAGAAUCCAAUUCAAGAUAUGGAUGAACCAAUCGCAAGAGAGUAAGUAGCAUCAUCCAUGGGGCUAAACGAACCAAUAUCAAUAUUAGAACGUAUCCCAAUAUUGAGACCUCAACAGAGUGAGGAACCCAAUUCAGUUCCACAUGUCAAUUUAUCAGGACAAUCCAAUCCAGGUUCUAUUAUGGGCUUCGUACACAGUAUGAGACUUGAAUCGGUGAUACAAUCCAUUGAAGUCCUAAUUACGCAGGCUUCAGUUCCGUUCCAAGUAGCUUCGAUCUCUACGCAGUUUCGAGAAACAUCCUAUCUAUUGAAAGAUCCUCUUGGGGGUAGAAAUUCCAAAGAAAGCCAGGCUACUGUUUCAAUUCCGAGUCCAGGGCGGAAGAAUUUCUUACCUCACGGAGUUAAACUCAAAUCAAUGAAAAGAAAGAGGGCAUUGAAAAUUAUCCAAAAUAUGGAAUCCUAUGAUAUUUUGAAGGAUCUGGAUGCUAUUCGGCCUUCUAUUUCUAUGAAGCAACUUCUAACGGUCGCACUAGAGUGUCGUUCUACAUUGAAUUCAUCAUUAAUACGGCAUAAGUACCGUAAUAAAGAAGUUUGUGAAGUCAGUUUGAACCUUGACCCAGGUGCACCAACCAUCAAUGUUUCAAUUGACGGUGUUAUGAUCUCAGGUAUUCAAGAAGAUGGUGGUUCUAGCAUCAAUUUAAUGAAUGUGGAUACAAUGGAGGACUUGGAUCUAAAGCAAUUGCUACCUAUGACAUUGGUCUUGCGAAUGGCAGAUCAUAGUCGGGUAAAGCCAAUGAGAAUCUUACGCAAUAUUGCCACUGUAAUCGUGGGAUUGACAUACAAAAUCGAUUAUAUUGUAUUCCGAUUACAGAGUUCUACAUUAUCGUAUCUCAUUUUAUUGGACAGACCUUGGCUUUAUCAAGCCAAAGCUAAGAACAAUUGGGGCUAAGGCACAUUGACAAUUGAAAAAGGCCGGGAUCACAUUGUUCUACAGAUGUACUCGGUACAAUAUCAUGGAGAGUUUCAAUUGCUAGCAUCUGAAUUAACGUCAGACGAUGAGCUUAGCUCCGAUGACGAUGCAGUAGCACCAAUUAUGGAGGCGCCCGUGGAGGCAGCACUACACCCUAGAGUGGUGUACCAAUAUGGAGAUCCGAAGGAGUACUUGAUAUAUCCGACGGACUCAGAAAACUCGGAUUAUGUUAAUACUGAUUGGAUGAUCAAGUAUGAUGUAUACCAUGUUACUGCCCUGGACACAGGAUUGAGUACUUUGUACAUGUUGAACUUAUUGAUUGACUUUAAACCAGCGCGGGGGUUGAAACAAAACAUCGUCAUUGCACCUUUAUGUCAAACUAUCAACUUGGCGACCAUAGCAGAACCUUGAAUAAUUAAGGUCUACGAAGGUAUUAAGGAACAAGAAUUGACUUGCUGGACCGAAUUUUUCUUGUAUCAUAUAUCCACUUUUACUUGAACUUAUGAUAAUUUAAAAGGUAUUCCCAUUGAAGUCUGUGAGCAUCGUAUCAUUUUAGAGGAGAACGCUAAACCGGUAUGGCAGAGGCAACAUCGCCUUAAUCCUAAAUAUUUCCUCAUAGUAAAGGAGGAAUUCGACAAACUUCUUGCAGUUGGUUUUAUUUACCCGAUACCAAAUAGUGAGUGGGUUUCUCCAAUCGUGAUGGUGCCGAAAAAGAAUGGAAAUUGUGAGAUUUUUUGAAAACUUAAUGCGGCCACUAAGAAAGAUUACUUCUCAUUACCUUUCAUGGAUAGUAUGGAUAACAUAUUGUCAUUAUCACCACUAGGUAAAAGAAUAGGAGUGGGGCACCAGUUAAAGUCAUUAUGUGGUGUUGUUUUGGGUUGAUUGGAGUGCCAUUUUUUUGUAUUUCUUGUGUUUUCGAGAGAAGUAGUUCUAGUUAAGAGUUAAUAAUGAGGAGCCAAUCACAAGAAAGAGAGCGCAUGGUGGAGACCCACAAGCAAGAACUAUUCCGAACUCGCAGUAAUUCAAAUUUGGAAUUGGAAAAAGCAAAAGAUCAGUUGGUAAUGGAACGAGAAAAGACCGAGUUAUUAGCGCAAGAGAAAUUGGUAUUGAGUGACCAAUAUAGAUGUGAAAUGGAGAGGUUAAGGGCUAAAAUUGAGGCCUUGAAUGUCGAGGAGACAAGAUUGGCAGAGGAUCUAGUUACUUUUGGUCAAGCACAAGUAUCGAUGUUGCCAAUUUCCGAAGUUCAAGAAGAGAGGAGUCACUUUCAGCACCAGUUGGAAUUGAGAGAUGCCGAGAUCCUAAAAUUGGAAGCUCAAGUCCGUGAACUGUGCGAGUACAAUGAAGACCUUUCAGCUCAGUUGAGGUAGGAGCCGAUGGAAGGAUUGGAGGAGGACGAAGAUUUGUAGUUGGAACCGAAAUCGGUGGAACCAAUAACAGAUACUGUGACAAUUGAUUAAUUAGAUAGGCCAGAGGGAUCGCAAUUUUUGUAGAGUUUUGUUAGAUAAUUUUUAGAUAGGUAUCAAUUGAGUGUUUGCGAGGAUGCUGCACAAUUAGGAGUGGGGCUAUGUAGAAUAAGUAGUUAUUUUCAGAAUAUAGAUACCUAGUGUAAAGUAUAAACAGGAAUAGAUAACUACUGAAAAGGUGGUUCAACAGGUAGAAUGGAUGAAUAGUCAAGAAAAGUAGUUAUCAUCUGUAGUAUAGGAAUUGGUAUCUCGGAGUAGUAUAAGGAGGAUGGGAGAGGGGAAGAAAAUGCCAGACUGUGAGAGUUGUGAGCCGGGGUAAGCUUGGUACUACCUCUUUUCUUUUGUUUGUUAUUUUCUUUGAAUAAGAGGAUUGAAAGUUUUUGAAUAUUGUGAAGUGAAUUAUGGAAUGGAAAUGUGAUUGGUAUUAUUUGAGAAGAAGAAAGAUUGAAUGCUGAAAUCUGAUUGUAAUUCAGCAAAGAGAAUGAGUCUGUGUUUGUGUGAAACAUUGUAAUGUGAAUGGCAGUUCUGUGUAAAGAAUUCCAGUGAUUGGAACGAGGGUAAUUGUGUGCUGAAAGCUGUGAGGGCGCAGUAUUAUAGUUGGAGAUUAUGAGGGUGAAUAUAUUGGUAGGAAUAGCAGUUAUUGGUAUGACUGAAUUGCUGUAAGGAAGAGACCGAUAAGGUGAAGGAUGAGAUUAUAGUUUCUUUGUGUAUUCAGAUAUUGGAAAUAGAGACGAUACAUUUAGGAGGUAAUUGAUUAUGUAACCCUAACAUGAACGCUUAAGCAACUAGUCAUUCCCCAU